AUUCAUAGCCAUUAUGGAGGGAAAUUUUGUAAACAAGCAUGUUUUUAAAAUGGUUUGACUGUACGCAGCAUCAAUUCGAAAGCUUAUAAAAUGUAUGCACAGUACUAAAAAAGAUCAACGUUAUCACAAAUUGAAUAUUUCACUCAGAAAGGAAAAAAGGGGGAUGGAGAUAUGUCUUUUCUAUAUCUGCUGCAUCAGCAUCCUAAACUAAAGACUUAACGCCGUAACGGCCAAAGUCCGUAUAAUUUACAAAAUGUAUGCUGUAUAAGUGAUUUUUUAAAACUAAAUAACUAAUAGAAAAAUGUUCAAUAACCUAUUUACACAAGACGUCAUGACGGCACCCCAUACAAAUUAUUGACAGUUUGUAUACAGAUUCAUCAUCAUACAUGUACAUCAUUCAUUUACAUGUAAAUGUAUCAUUGUGUAAUGAAAUGGUCUCGUAUAUCAUAAUUUUCGUAGCAUCCAUAUUUCAUGGAUUUUGAUUGCACAAGCCUAUAUACAUGAUAUACCUAACGCUUUAUUAUUCCAGAUGUAAAAUUACACAACUUUUUCAGGAAGUUGUAUAAAUGACUUUUUUCCCCGGAAUGGACUAAAUAGCGAUAAGGUGUAUUGUGACAGGGUUUUCGGUUUCUAUAUUCGAAAACAACAACAACACUUCAACUUGACAUAUUUAAAACAGGUACAUGUAACAGACCCGGAUUCUUUAAAACACUUUCAAAGUCGCAUUGAAAGACAAAUGUGAUAAAACUGAACUGUUAAGCCAUUUUUAUUUAAUGUAAAAAAAUAUGCAUCACUAGAAUUGCUUCCAAUCACAUCGGACACAAGCAAUAAGUAGUGGAUGGAGAGAGCUCAUCACACAUUGAUGUAGAAUCUGGGGUACCCCAAGGCUCAGCCCUUGGGCCUUCGCUAUUUCUGUUUUACAUCAACAACAUUCCUAAUGGAAUUAAAUCUACUAUCACUCUAUUUGCUGAUGACACCAUAGCCUACCUUACAAUAUCAAACAACAAAGAUUCCAACAAUCUACUAAAAGAUCUAGAUAAAUUGGCAUAAAAUAAAACAUGGGAAACCAAAUCAGACUACACGAAUGAAUUUUAUUUUUACAGGACAUUCGGUCUGGUAAGCAUCCUAGCUUCCAGACCGAAUGAAAUUUACCAAGACAAUUUUUUUUACAUCUAAUUGUAUAUUAUCCGACAAAAACAACAAACAUAUGACUUGUUGUGCCUACUCCUCCCCAAAAUGCACAAAAACAAAAUGAUGUAACAAAGAGGUAAUUGUUCUGAAAGUCUGCACAUUUGCUUGAUUCAUUUCAGUGAAAGUAAUGUCCCAUUUUAUUGGAUUUUGACAAUGUUUGUGAACUAAACAUAAUUUAGAGUUUCUGUAUAAAAUAUUAUUUCCUGUUUCUUCUUUCUUUUUAUUCGACCGCAAAAAUUUUAAUUUUUUGUCGUAUAUUGCUAUCUCGUUGGCGUCGUCUCUUGCGUCGUCCGUCGUCCGAAUACUUUUAGUUUUCGCACUCCUAACUUUAGUAAAAGUGAAUAGAAAUCUAUGAAAUUUUAACACAAGGUUUAUAACCACAAAAGGAAGGUUGGGAUUGAUUUGGGAGUUUUGGUCCCAAAAUUUUAGGAAUUAGGGGCCAAAAAGGCCCAAUAAGCAUUUUUCUUGGUUUUUGCACUAUAACUUUAGUUUAAGUAAAUAGAAAUCUCUAUGAAAUUUUGACACAAGGUUUAUGACCACAAAAGGAAGGUUGGGAUUGAUUUUGGGAGUUUUAGUUCAAACAGUUUAAGGAAUUAGGGGCCAAAAAAAGGGCCCAAAUAAGCAUUAUUCUUGGUUUUCGCACAAUAACUUUAGUAUAAGUAAAUAGAAAUCAAUGAAAUUUAAACACAAGGUUUAUGACCACAAAAGGAAGGUUGGGAUUGAUUUUGGGAGUGAGGUCUGAACAGUUUAGGAAUUAGGGGCCAAAAAGGGGCCCAAGUAAAGCAUUAUUCUUGGUUUUCGCACCAUAACUUUAGUAUAAGUAAAUAGAAAUCUUUGAAAUUUAAACCACAAGGUUUAUGACCAAUAAAAGGGAAGGUUUGAUUUGGAGUUUUGGGAACAGGUUUUGAAUAAGGGCCCAAGAGGUCCAAAAUUGAAACUUUGUUUGAUUUCAUCAAAAAUUGAAUAAUUGGUUCUUUGAUAUGCCAAUCUAACUGUGUAUGACUUAGAUUUUUGAUUUGCCAGUUUUCAAGUUGGUCCAAAUCGGGGUCCAAAAUUAAACUUUGUUUGAUUUUCAAAUAAUAAUAUACAAAAAUUGAAAUAAGUAAAUAAUUGGGGUUCUUUGAUAUGCAAACUAACUGUGUAUGUAGAUUCUUAAUUUUUGUCCGUUUUCAAAUUGGUCUACAUUAAAUACCAAAGGUCCAAAAUUAAACUAAGUUUGAUUUUAAUAAAAAUUGAAUUCUUUGGCUUUUUUGAUAUGCUGAAUUAAUCAUGUACUUAGAUUUUUGAUUAUGGGCCCAGUUUUCAAGUUGUGUUCAAAUCAGGAUCCAAAAUUAUUAUAUUAAGUAUUGUGCAAUAGCAAGAAAUUUUCAAUUGCACAGUAUUCAGCAAUAGCAAGAAUCUUCAAUUGCCACAGUAUUGUGCAAUAGCAAAAAAUGUUCAAUUGCACAGUAUUGUGCAAUAGCAAGAAAUCUUCAAUUGCACAGUAUUGUGCAAUAGCAAAUAUUUUCAAUUGCACAGUAUUGCGCAAUAGCAAGAAAUAUCUAAUUGCACAAUAUUGUGCAAUAGCAAGAAAUUUUCAAUUUGAUUGGAGUUAUCUUUCUUUGUCCAGAAAGUAGUUGAAUCAACUUAAAAAUCAUUGUUUUAUACAAUACACAAUGUAUAUUCACUUUUACUACCAACUGAUAAAUUAAAACAAUCUUUACCAUUCAGUGAUAACAAGCAACUUUUUGUUACAUUUUAAUAUUUUAUGAUGUAUUUAAAUGAGUAGCUAUUGUUGCAAACUCAUUAGAAAUUUGAAUUGAUAUCAGUUUGAAAAAAGGGAAAGGGGAUGUGAAAAAAAAUGGUGGAGGGGGGGGGGGUGGUUUAAUUUUUCUCAUUUCAGAUUUCAUAAAUAAAAAGAAAAUUUCUUCAAACAUUUUUUUGAGAGGAUUAAUAUUCAACAGCAUAGUGAUUGCUCAAAGACAAAAAAAUUAUUUUAAGUUCAUUAGACCACAUUCAUUCUGUGUCCAAAACCUAUGCUGUGUCAACUAUUUAAUCACAAUCCAAAUUUAGAGCUGAAUCCAGCUUGAAUGUUGUGUCCAUACUUGCCCCAACCGUUCAGGGUUCAACCUAUGCGGUCGUAUAAAGCUGCGCCCUGCGGAGCAUCUGGUUCAUAUAUCUUUUGGUUUUUUAUAUUUCAUAGCUGAAUUUUGUGAUCUGCUUGGAUUUUUAUUCAUUUAUUGUAUUUAAUCGGCAAACCCGGAAUUAUCCUUAUCUGUUCCCAGAAUCUGAUCCGGUUUUAUUUACAUUUCCGGUUGUGUGGCCAAAUGUGUAUGGCAUGCCAUUGUUGUUUUUGACAGUCAGAUAUGUUUUUACCUGGAUUUACACAUUACUGGUUGGCGAUUUUCGGCAUAAAGCUAGCGGUUACAUGGAAAAUUGUAAUGCAUUACACUUAAUUACCAUUACAUUUUCAAUUACCCCAUCCCUGCAAACCAGCGAGUUAAAAUUAAUAGGGUUCUUAUAUAAAAUGGUUGUUCAAACUCCAUUCAUUCAAUAUUUUAUUGACAAUUCUUUAUAAUCAUCAUUAAUAAAUAAAGAUGGAAACUGUCUUAGCUACAUGUAUUUACAUUUAAUCAUAAAUUUUGAAAAUUGCAUUGUAAAUUCCAAAAAAUAAUGUCUUUUGUAAACACCAAGUGCCAAUCUGAAAAAGAUCACAAUGUUACAAUUUCAGCACAUGAAACAUCAACCAAAAACUAUUUACAAGUUAAUUUUGGUUCUGAAAAGAAUUAAAUAACUUUUUUAUGAUUCAAGCAAUUACCAGAACCAUGACUUUAGAAAAUACCCAUUUCCGGAUUUUGUAUUCAUUUCCUGUUCGUAUAUAUACUGAUCCAGUUUUUGGGAUAUGAUUGCUUUCAAGCAAUCUGUAGACUUAUACCAGUGGCUCAGGACAAUGCCCUCACGUCAACCGUUUUAUUCUAAACAUUAAGGACCAUCUCAGAUUCUUAUGAUUGUCUUGGUUUAAAAGGUAAAACAGACAAAGGGAUUGAACUUAAACAACUUUCCUAUAAUGUUCUUUUCAUAAUCUUCAUGUUUGAUAUUUCCCUUGACUUAUAUGCGUGUUUUUAACAACACGGAAAAUGAGAAUCAAGCAGUAUUUAUAUUUAGUGUUUUUAUAAAUUUAGAAACACGUCAGAGGGGAUUCCCCAGUUGUGAUAAAAAUGCGAGAGUUCUCUGAAUUUUGAUAAUCUAUUUCUGUCAAAUAAGAACUGAAGUGGAGUUAAACUUAUGUCACCAUUAUUAACACUGAUAUUUGAUAUUGUACUUCCAUAAAAAAUAGAGAACCAUUUAGGUUUAAUAUACGUUUUUACUACAGGGUUUGUUUAUGUAAUAAUGCGCAUGCGUAUACUUUUCUUGACUUCAAGGGGUACUAGGUUAAAUGGUUGCUCUGGAUUCCCACUCAAUUGAUUAAUUUAUAACUCGUGCGAUCCUUUCUAUGUAUGUCUGCUUUUGAGGGUUAUUGUUGUUGCAUAAUUUUAAAUCAUAUGCAUCAUUUGAAUUAAAAUAAAUGUAGCCCACAUCGUAUAGGUUUACCAACACCCCUUCAGGCGAAAUGGAGUCUUCCAUAUUAUCGUUUCGAGUUGUCUCCCUUCGUGAAGUCACUUCCGUGAACUCUGAAUCAAAACAACAACACGUUGAGAAAAAUUAACUCGUUCUGUCGAUAAACGUUGUAUUAUAUUAAAAACGAUCGGAAUUUAAACCGAGGAAUGUGUACAGAAAGGAGUCAUGAUCACUGACCCAAAGGAAAUUAAAUAUUUAAAGAGUUAGGAAUGGGGUUCCUCCAGGAGAUUAACGUAGGAAAAUAGGUGAUUAGAUACGAAGUGAAUUACUUCUCUCACUCCGAGUCUCAGUGACUGCUGUGGAAAGUAAACUUGGAAUUGAUAGUACAAAAUUAAAACACAAUAGGCUAAGUACUUGUUAAUACACUUUUAACCGCGAUUGGCUAUAUUUGUAACUAUUCAAUAUUACGUAAAUUACAUUUUACAUGUGCAGUUGAAUUAGUUUUGAAAACAAUACUAACUACUUACAGUCUACAUGUAUACACGUGUCAAUAAAAAGAAUGGCAAUAGAAUCCCUCAGAUCAAUCUACUCUUUGAUUACUUCAUACGAAAACAUAUGACGCCAUAUUUUGACAUAAAAUAGCAAAAUAAUCGGAAACACUAAAAAAUCUAAAUACCUAAAAACAUUCGACAGAACAUGCUUUUAAAAUUUGAGUACACGCGUAAAUAAAACUCAACAGUGAAUACCAUAAGCAGCGAAAAUUGUUAUUAGUACAAAAACACAUCACACGAGGAUACUGUCAGUACUGACUAUAGUCCAAAUAAUUAUGCCUCGUGAAAGGCUAUUUAUUUUUUUCUUUAACGCCUUACAUCAUGGCAGGAAGGUGUCAAAGCAAAAAUUUAAAAUAGCCUUCCAAGACUUCAUAUUUAUUUGGACUAAAAAGUUAGAUACUUUUGCUUGGUCCAUACAACUUUGACUUCACUAAUUUCAACUGAAGCACUGGCUACUAAGCUGGUGAUACCCUCUGUGACUAACAGACCAUUAGCAGUAGUAUCAACCAUGUACUAUAGUAAAUAAAAUAAUUAAUUAUCAGCAAUAACCUGUCCAUUGUAAACGAGUUAUUUUUACACCACACUUAAGGGCAUUCUGUUUUUCGUUCUGUGCAUCUGUUAGUUCAUUUGUCCAUCUGUCCUGCUUCAGGUUUAAGUUUUUGCCAAUUUUGGUCAAGUUAGUUUUUGAAGAAGUUGAAGUCCAAUCUACAAUGAAACUUAAGUACACUUGUUUCCUAUGUCAUGAUCUUUCUAAUUUUAAUGCCAAAUUAGAGUUUUAACAAAAAUUUCAAGGUUCACUGCUGAACAUGGAAAAUGAUAAUGCUGGCUUCAGGUUUAACUUUUUGUGGUCAAGGUUGUCAAAGUCCAAUCAACCUGAGACUUAGUGCACAUAUGUUCCCUAUGAUAUGAUCUUUCUAAUCUAUUGAUAUAUGAUUAAUGUCAAAAUUACAAAGAAGCUACUACUGGUAAUGUAAGUUUUUUAUGAUUAAGAUAGGAAAAUAGCAUAAUUUGUUUAUAUUUUUAAUAUUUUUUAGUGAUUGAUUAUGUGACAGAAUUCAGAUUACGAAAAGAUUGUGAACAUCAGACUCUGAUAAAUUUUACUGACCUAGAGGUAUGUCAUUUAGUAAAAAUGGUAGAUAUAUCUUAUAAAUAUCACUUCUUUUUUUUUUUUUUUUGAACACUUCUAGUUGUACACAAUAGAUAUAAGAAGAUGUGCUAUGAGAGCCAAUGAGACAACUCUCCAUCCGUGUUUCAAUUUAUAAAGGAAACAUUAUACAUCAAAGUACAGUCUUCAACACGGAGCCUUGGCUCACCCGGAACAGCAAACUAUGAAAGUCCAAAAAAAAUACUUGUGUAAAACCAUUCAAACGGGAAAACCAACAGUUUAAUUUAUAUAAAAAAAAAGAAAUGAGAAACACUUAUGAACCACAUCAACAAACCAAAACUACUGAACAUCAGAUUCCUGACUUAGGACAGGUGCAAACAAUUUCAGUUAACAAUGUAUGUUUAAUAAUAAAAAAAGACAAGACUCUAUGAAGCAAGAUUUGUGUAAGCUAUUUCCAGUAAUUUUGGAAAAAAUCAACAAAAUUUAGUAUGCAAUUACUGAUAGGUCACACAGGUCAAACUUAUCAUGUUGGUUCAUUGAAUUGGGAUGACUUUUUGACAUGUACAUGUAUGCCACAUUACCACACAUCUCUUUUUCUUUAUUUAUAUAUUAAAUUAAACUUUACUCAUCGAGUAAAGUGCUCAAUAUAAGUUCCUUGAUUCCUCUUCUUUUAUCAUAAACUUUUGAUAUGUAUUAUGGCUUGUUUUGAGCCUGAAACAUUUUUGCAUAUACAAAAAUGUACUGGUAUGUGUUUAAAUUUUCAGGGUAUGCAGUGAGUUUCAGUUUAUUUAAUGAAGGAUACCCCAUAAAACCGUUUGUGAAGUGGUUUCUCAAGUUAAAUUACCUUUAAAUUCAAACAAUAUUAUAAGUUCUUGGAAAAUUGGGAAAAAAUCAUAAAUUUAGGGCAGUAUUUCAAACAUUCAUCAUAUAAGCAGUCAUGUGAGAAUUUAGUUAAGAUUGACAGGCAGUAGAUCUUAACAUUCUGUACAUCUCUGUUCUGACCGAUUUCUGUAUCUAUAAUUGUUUCCAAAAUAAGAAUUAAUAUUUCCAUUUUACACCUUUUUUUUUCUUCUAGUUUUAGCCUGGGUGGCCAUGUUUGUAUAUAACAUAGUAAUAUGUAUAUCAAAAUUACAAAAUUUCCCCCAAAAACCCAAUUAACUCUGCAUGGAUAUGAUAUUAUAUGUAUCAGCUUAUUUUGUGUGUAUUUUUGUUGAGACGCUAUGUAAUUAUCAAUGAUUAUCCAUCAAAAUGUCUACUGAAAACUGCCAACAGCCAUAUACCUAAUAUUAACAAAUAUAUUUGAUAGCAACCAUUUAAUUUUUGUCAUAUGACCAUACUUUGACUCUGGGAUUUAUAAUUUUUUAAACAGGUUACCUAUAUCAUGUGCAUAUACUCUGUAGUAGAACAUCCUGGUACUCAGUCAAUUCAAGUAAGAGUGAGGUAAAGAAGUAAAAUAAAGUUUUCAAUCAUUUAAUUUGUGGGAAAAUUUACUGUUUAAUGUUUUCUAUACAUGUACAUGACAAAUUCAUUGGAAAAAAGUAAACUUGCCCACCAAAAUUGCACUGAUUAUAUAUUAGAUUCAACUUUUUUUGAUGACUCUUGCAUGACUGAAUACCUGAAAAAAAAGUAUGUUUAUCAUCCUUUUCACCUGUAUAAGAAGAUUUUUUUUGGGAGGAUCACAUGAAAACAGAUUCAAUGAAGGCAGUGAAUUAUUCAUCAGCAAUUUUCUUAGCUUUUUUUGACAAAAUUGAACCAUGCUAUCUGCUAAAAGCUAAUAUUUAUUUCCAUUAUUUCACUUUCGUUAUAUAUAUUGAUUUAGGGCUAUUCCAGAAAAAAAUGUAUGGGGGGUUGGAAGGCAGUUUUUGUCAGCACCCGCCACCCAGACAAUUGUAAUUGAGAAUUAUAGUGCAUUAUUGUCGAGCCUGCAACUUUUGCUGCAGAAAGCUCGACAUAGGGAUAGUGAUCCAGCGGGGCCGGCGGUGUUAGCUAAAUUCUUAAAGGCUUUAUAUUUUAGAAGGUGGAAGACCUGGAUGCUUCAUGUUACGAAGUUUCCGUCAGUCACAUGUCCAAUGUCCUUGACCUCAUUUUCAUGGUUCAGUGACCACUUUUGAAAAAAAAGUUCAAAUUUUUUGUAAUGUUGAAUUCUCUCUUAUUAUAAGUAAUAGGAUAACUAUAUUUGAUAUGUGCGUACCUUGCAAGGUCCUCAUGUCUGUCAGACAGUUUUCACUUGACCUUGACCUCAUUUCAUGGAUCAGUGAACAAGGUUAAGUUUUGGUGGUCAAGUCCAUAUCUCAGAUACUAUAAGCAAUAGGUCUAGUAAAUGCGGUGUAUGGAAGGACUGUAAGGUGUACAUGUCCAACUGGCAGGUGUCAUCUGACCUUGACCUCAUUUUCAUGGUUCAGUGGUUAUAGUUAAAUUUUUGUGUUUUGGUCUGUUUUUCUCAUACUAUAUGCAAUAGGUCUACUAUAUUAGUUGUAUGGAAUGAUUGUAAGGAGUACAUGUCUAGUGGGCAGAUGUCAUGUGACCUUGACCUCAUUUUCAUGGUUCAGUCAUUUUUGUCAGUGGUCAAAGUUAAGUUUUUGAGUUUUGGUCUUUUUAUCUAUUACUAUAUGCCAUAGGUCAACUGUAUUUUGUGUAUGGAAAUAUUUUAUGAUCUUUAUGUCAGUCGCACAGGUUUAAUUUGACUGUGACCUUAUUUUCAUGGUUCAUUGCACAGUGUUAAGUUUUUGUGUUUUGGUCUAUUUUUCUUAAACUAUAAGUAAUGGGUCAACUAUAUAUGUUGUAUAGAAGCAUUGUUAGCUGUACAUGUCUGCCUGGCAUGUUUCAUCUGACCUUGACCUCAUUUUCAAGGUUCAUUGAUCUUUGUUUAGUUAUCUUGGUUAAUGUUAAGUUUAUGUGACAGUUAAGUUGUAAUAAAGCUUAGCUUUAUACUUAGGACUAUCAACAUUAUAUCAAUGAUUAGUAUAGAAGGCGAGACAUUUCAGCGUGUGCUCUCUUGUAGUGUGAAAAGUUGCUCUGAUACCCAUCAACCAUGUAUUAUUAAUAUAAUGUGCCUUCCAACCCCCCAUACAUUUUUUUUCUGGAAUAGCCCUUAGCAAAAACAAAUAUAUAUAUAUUUUGUAUAAAUCAUCUCUUAGUUAUUGCCCCUCUAAAAAUAAUAGUUUAAAUUGCAGGUUGCUAUAGAAAUAUAAAAGAAUGGAUCUGACACACCUUCUUCCCACUACAACAUUUUUUAAUCCAACUAAAACUACCUCAUCUAUGGUGAACCAGACUUGUAAUUUGCCAGAUUCUACGACAGAAUCACCAACAACAUCUCAAAUGGAUCCACUCAGCUUACAACAGUCUGGACACAAUUACUUACAACAAAUCACACCCUGUCAAUCAAAUGCUAUGCUGCAUCCACAUAAACAGGAUAGUGAUGUGUUAGAUUCAUUAAACUCUUUGAACGAUCGUGAAGUAGAGGAGUUUACAAAUCUUAUAUCUGAUGUAUCUGUGUCAGUAGUCGUUGACAGCACUCAACAGAGAGAGACAUUGAUAGAUUUACCACAAUACAUUGAAAGUGAACCACAACAACAACAAUAUACCGCUCCAAAUCUGACAGAACAGAUCAAUCUGAGUACAAUAUCACAACUCAUUCAACCAGACUUAGACAAGUCAGAAAAAGUACCAGAACAUGCAAUAGGUCAAGUUAAUGCUUGUAUUACAAGUAGUGAACCUGAUUUUUCAAGUUAUCCUCCACAUUGUAAAUGUGACUUUAUUGAUAAACUUGUUGCAGUAGAACAAAUUUGGUUGUGUAGAGGUCAGUUAUAUUUCCUUCCACAAAUUGCUAUUGUUGUCAUUGGUAACAGAGAGUUUGCUGGAAUAUUUCACAAUCAGAAAAAAGGAUACAUUGCCGUAGGUGAGAUCAUCGAAAAAAUGAUGCCUCAGUAUGAGUCUGACUUGAUAGGUUUUCUUAAGAGAAAGGAAGAUGUUGAACAGUGCACUAUGACAACACAGGAAAUUGGUUAUCUGCAGCAAAGGAAUUGUAUUGGUCCAACAUGUAGGUACUCGGUGGCUGUAUCAUUAAACACACUUCGUCAGAUGGCUCAGUUCAUUGUCAUGUAUGAAGGAGACAAACCAGGAUUUGACAACAAAAUAAAAGAGAUUGCUAAUGGUAACUAUUAUAAGAAAGUAUUACAAAGACAUGUGCGCUGUGGAAAUUGUGGAGGAAUAAUUCUUUAUAGCAAAGAACCAGAGGAGUAUGUAAAACUAAAUAAAGAAACCAAGAUCAAAGAAAAUGAGUCAAAAUGUUUUUCUGUUGGAUUUAUUAAAGUAGGAGGUUUUAGAUUUGUAGCAUUUAAAAUGGAUAAUAGAAUUUAUGUCUCUUUUAAAGAACUAUGUCAAAAUCAGGUGAUAAAGUUACAGGUACUUCAAGCUCGUCUUGGUGCUCUACGCCAACGACCUCGCCUUGCACCAAGUAUACUGAACAGUUAUUUAAAUACACCAGAUUACAGUGUUGCAAACACCAUGUGGAUUGACAUUGCUACCUUAAGAUGUGUAUGUUGUAUGGGAAAAUGCUCCCCUGGUUUCAAUUCAGAAUUAUAUACUUGCUUUGCUACAGUAAAUUUCAGUGAAGAUUUUGUGACAAAUAUCUUUGGUAGGGAUGAUCACCAAUCUGACAAUGAUGUAUAUACAAUGGAUCCUAAAACAUUUGAGGUUGUGAUGAAGAAAACGAGUAUGAAAACAAGUUCAGUUCGAUCUAAAACUCCAAAUUUAAGUAAAUCUAAACAAAAACCAACGUUAAAAUCAUUUGAACUGUCAACCAAACAAGUUGUUGGUUAUGAAACCCCUGAAAAGCUGAAUGAGUCUGCAUUUGUUUUUGAAAAACCUAUGGAAGAUUCUUUGUCUGAUCAUAACUUAUUUAGGGAGAAAAAAAGUAAAUCGAGUAAAACUCCAAAGACCAACAAGACAAACAAAGAUGAAGAAACAUACGUUUUUGAAGAUAAAAAAAGUGCAAUUAAUUUCUUAACAAAGAACAAUUAUUUGCAAGAGGAAACAAUUCCUGAAACUAAAUUGGAUUCAAAGAAGAAAAAUAUAAAAGAUGCUAAGUAUGUACCAGGAAAAACUCCAACUUUUAGAGUGAAACCAGCAGAAAAGCCAUAUAGUUUUGAUGGAAGUUUGAAAAAAGGCCAAAACAAAAAGUCUGACACUGAAAAUAUCAAAAUAACUGUGAAAGAUGAUCGUGUCAUGUUGACAGUUGCAACAAAGAAAACCCCUAAUAAUAAAAAAUCAAAAUCUAAGGCUUCAAGCAGGAGGCGAAAGAAAGAAAUAGAACUAGAAGAUUCUGAAAUAAUUUCAACUAAUACAACCAGCAUUGCAACUCCAGAACUAGAAGAUUCUGAAAUAAUUUCAACUAAUACAACCAGCAUUGCAACUCCUGAAAUAUGUGAUUCUGAUGAGACUCAGGAUGCUGUAGACAGUCUUGUAAACCAUUUUCAAUUAAGCCCUAAACGUCAAGGAAGAUCAAAUGUUGAGAUAGAAAACAUAGGAAUAACUCCAAGAACAGAAUCUCGUAUUUUAUCUGGCAUAGAUUUGGAUGGGAGUAUAAGUAAUAUGUUUGAAACACCAUCAUCACAGGGUAACGUUGUUGUAGAAAUGAUGGAUAAUAGUGACGAGCAUCCAUUAACAGGCAGCACUUCACCUCUCAGUAGAUUAUACCAACAGUUUGAAGAUUUUGAAAAAACUAAUUCACCCGAUAUUGUUUCUACAAAUCAAACUGACACAAUAUACAGAGAAAAUUCACAUAUUUCUAGCUCAGAAACCGAGUUAAGUUUGCAACUUAGAAAUGAGACAGAGAUGCCAAUCAAUCUAUCAGCCUCAAAGCAAGGUCAGAUUUUAUCAAAGGGAGAUAAUUCUGAAUGGCAGCAAGUGAGCGAUUUAAUAGGUGACAUUGAGGAGACUCAAAAAUACUCUGACACUACUAUUAAUAAAACAAUAUCAACUAUUCAUACCAUGCAUUCAACAGAAGCUCAAAAUAUUGAUCCCAUCCAGAAAUUUGAAUUGAGGGAAAAUGUUGGACACAGUACAUUACAAAACUUGUUCUCUGCUCAUAUAGAGGACAAAAAUUGUCAAAGUGACCAGUCUGAAGAAAGGGAGAAAAGAGCUAAAACAUUAAGUCCAACAAAACCCAAAAGUGGAUCGUGUCAGAAUUCUCCUAUUUCAAAACUCAAAAAGACAUCAUCAUCGAACUCGCCUGUAUUUAAGAAAUCGGGUGAAAUUGAUAUGAAUCAUGCCAAAGUUAAAAAGUUGUCUGAGUUGGGAGAUCAUCCUUUGGAUUUGUUAGCUUCCCUGGCUGAAGUGAUCACAGAUGAAACAGAAAAUGAACAAACAAUGGCAGGAAAUGAAGAUGCUGAUGUCUCCACUGAUCAGCAAUAUGAUGAGACUUUAAAAUAUGAAGAAGUUGAUCAAUCAAAAAUAGACAAAUCAAUUCCAGAGAAUGAGUUUACUUAUUUUGAUCCAGUACCAGAUUUGUAUGAAAGUAAAGAACAUAUUGAGUUGUGUACAUUUGCUGAUGAAAAUUCAAACAUUGACAAGGUAGCAUUUAGUACAAAAGCUGAGAAUACAUUUACAAGUAAAUUUUCUAAUGAAGAGAGCAGAGACAGGAUAUGUAAAUUUCUUGAUGAGGUAGAGAGUCACAUGACUAUUGAACCAUAUAAGGACACAAGUACAGGAUACUGGAAAGUCAGGAUAAGGUUAAAACCUGAUGCAAAGGGAGACAUAUCCAGGUAAUUAACAAUGUUAUAGCUGAAGGUCAGUCAGGGGUAAUACUUGUACAAGUAAAUUUGAUUUACUGGUACAGAUAACCAUUUUUGGAGGCAGAGUAUAUUUUUAUGCCCCACCUGCGAUAAUAGAGGGGCAUUAUGUUUUUCUGGUAUGUGUGUCCGUUCGUUCGUUUGUCUGUCUGUUCAUCCGUCUGUUCUUCCGUCCGUUCGUCCUGCUUCAGAUUAAAGUUUUUAGUCAAGGUAGUUUUUGAUGAAGUUGAAGUCCAAUCCACUUGAAACUUAGUAAACAAUAAAUUAACAUGUUCCCUAUGAUAUGAUAUUUCUAAUUUUAAUGCCAAAUUAUAGUUUUUUUCCCAAUUUCACGGUCCAUUGAACAUAGAAAAUGAUAAUGCGAGUGGGGCAUCCGUGUACUUGGGACACAUUCUUGUUUAGUUCUAUAAAUAUUUUAAAUUAUACAAAUAAGAAAUUUGUAUUUCUUCUAACGUGUUGCUUUAAAAAACUAUCGAAUUGUCUGUCCUAAUAGUAUUUCAAUAUUACUACAUCAUGUACAUAGAUUUACAUAUGCUUAAUGUACUUGAUCAUGUUGAAGAUUUAUAAGAUAUUCAUUUGUUACAUAAUUAAAUUUACCAUGACAGCAUGAAAACAGGCGUAAUCAAAUUAAAAGGAAAUAACACAAAUUUUCCAUAUAACAUGUAUAACAUAAAUUUUGCAAACUAUCAGAAAAAUUAUUAACUUGUACUACAACCUUCAAUGUUUCUUUGGUGAUAUUAUAUUGAUCAGCUCUCAGUUAUUAUUUGAAUUUGAAAUUUAACUGUCCAGAGUCUUGAGAAUAAUUAUUAGACUAUUAAAAGCUGUGUAUGAAAAUAAGAUGUGGUAUGUUUGCCAAUGUGACAACUGUUCGCAAGAGUUCAAAUGACACAGAAAUUAACAACUAUAGGUAACUGUACUGGUACUGUAUAUAUUUGUAUCUCGUGUCAUCUAAGGUUAGAUAUGUUACUAUCUGAUAUUUAUAUUAGUACAACAGUAACAAUAGAUCAAUGUAGACAGAUUUUUAUUAAACAAGAUUAUUUGUACUUAAACUAGACUUACAGGUUUUAAUGCAGGUUAUAAUGGUUUAUCAAGUUUAUAAAAGUUUUGUUUUGUUUUUUUUAGGUUUGUUUGGAAGUGAAACAGACAAGAAGAAGAGGAAUAUGAUUUUUGCAUUUCUAGGAAAACUUCAUCUACCUGAAAACAUUCCAAAUAGUGAAAGAAAUAGUGAACAAAUUGACAAGCUUUCUGAGCAAAGUAGCAAAUCAUUUAAAACAACUGAAACAUCACUCGGUCAUCCACAAUCCAAUUCCAAGACUAAAUUAAAAUCCUCAAGAUCUAACAAAGCUAAAAAAUCAAAACAUUCAAAAAAGUCUGGUAACAAAUCCAGUCACAAUUCCCAAAAGAAUAAUUUAGCAUUACAGUUGUUUGGUGCAGACAGAAGUGAUAUUAAUUCUCCAGACAAAAAGAAACAUCUAGAACAGUUUAUUCCUAGUGUAAACAAAGAAAGCUCUGGAAGAAACGAAGCAAUUACUAGUCCCAAUACUCAAAGUUCAAUGAAAAGAGCAAGGCAGUCGCCUUUAGAAUACAACAAAUCAAAGAAGCUGAAAUCUCACUGAUUAAAUAAUAUGGUAGGUUUACAUUAAGUUCAUCUCGAUAAAAGUUAUAUAGAAGAUGGGGUAUGAUUUCCAAUGAGACAACUCUUAAAUAAGAGAACAAUGACAGAGAAAUAUAACAAUUGAAGAGUCAGUAUAAAUAUUAUGUAUAAGGUCUUCCACAAUCAGCAAAACUCAUACCACAUACAAAGUCAGUAUAUGAAAGGCUCAGAAAUGACAAAUGUAAAGCAAUUCAAAAGAGAAAACUUAAUGGCCUGAUUUAUGUACAAAAUAAUGGAUUAAAACAAACAUGAUAUAUAUAACCAACAACAACCACUGAAUUACAGAUCACUGACUUAGGAUAGGCACAUACAGAUUGUUGCAGGGUUAGAUUAGUUUGAAGGCACCAACCUCCUUUCUAACCUGAGACAGUUGUGUAACUACAAUAUAAGAACAAGUCCUUAUUAUCCAUGUUAUCAAAGUGUAGAUUUUUUUAACCAGGUGAGUGAUCACAAGUUUGCCUCUUGUUCAGCUGUUGUGAUACUAUAUAUAUAUAUAUUGCAUUGUUUCAAAGCAGAGGUACAUACAGGGGGAAAUCUAGCUUCAGUACUUAUCAUAAUCACUAUAUUAUUCCUUUCUUUUUGCAGGGUUAAGAAAUAAAUAAGUUGAACUAUCUAGUCAGGGAAGUUUCUCCAUGUGAUAUAGCAGCAACAUUGAUGAUAUUUACAAUUUUCAAGAGGCAAAGCGUUGUAUGAAGGUUUAUAUAAUGCUGAGUAAACAAAUAAAGUAUCCCUAGAUACCUUGAUGACUGAUGCAACUAAGAUUGAUGUCAUGUGACAUUGAAAAAAAUCAGGGUAUCAUUUCACAAAGAUUUUAAUUAUUUUGUGUUAAUGUAUCAUAUGUUUGCUCUGAUAUUACACAAGUAUACGACUACUUAGGGAAACAGUGACUAGAUUUAAGACAUCUUGAUUGCCUCAGAAUGUUUUUUAUUAAUGGCAAUAAAUAUAUUGUAUCACUAUCUAUAACCAUGUAUUGACAAUCAAACAUAUCAGUUAUUAGUUCUCCUGUUUAUUUCUCUGUGUUCUGUUGAUUUUAUACAACAAAGGUGCUAUGUUUAAUUAUGUUAUAGUUUUGUUAACUUUUUUGUCCCGCCUGCUUUAGUAGGAGGCAUUAUGUUUUUUUGAAUCUGUUCGUUAGUUUACUCUGUAUGAUAGUCAAGUUUUUGGUUGAGACAAUUAGUAACAACAAAUUUUGUCAUAUAUAUUAACCUGAAAUUUAGUACACUUAUUCAUUAUGAUGUGAAAUUUAAAAAUUAUAUAUACCAAAUUAUAUUUUUGAAACAAAUUUCAUGGAUGACUAAACAAACAUAUUUGCAUUGGAAAUUUAUAGUACAUUCUCAGGUUAAAGUGAAGAUAGUGUUCCUCCUGCCCUAGCAGCAAGCUAAAUUGCAAUAAAAAAUCUGUGAGAUCAUCCAUCUAUUAAAGUAUGUUCCUGUUACCUGAAAGGUUGUAAACAAUUAACUUUAAUCAACUGCUUUUACCAAAAAUCUUGCCCUUGAUUUUAGAAAAAAUCAUGUUAACUACACUUUUCCUUUUAAAUUAAAAUCUAUUUUCAUUAACCUAAUUAUAUAUACAGUACUGUACAAGCUUGAUUUUGACAGUAUGAACGUUUUCUGUUCUUAGUAUACUGUAAGCAGGUGUACCAGUGAUCACUAUAUCACAAUAAUUCCAGUUUUUCAAAUGUUUUCCUAAUUCAAAGUAUUCUUGUUAAAUGUUGAAUUGAUUUAUAGUAUAAUUGUUCAAUAAAAGCAUUUAAUUGCAUUCUACAAUUAUGGUACAUGUGACGAAGUGUAAUAGUGUUAUUGAAAAAUUAAUUGCUGAUGUUCUUUUUGUAUUUAUAAGAUAUGCAUCAUACAUCACAAUAAUGAAGUCAACUUUGAGCUUUGUUAAAUGUUGAAACAGAAGAUAAAUAAAAGAAACUAUGAAAAAUAAUUAAGUAAUUUCUUUUCUUUUUUUGAAGAAUAAAUUAACGUUUGAUUUCUCCACAGAUAGGAUGAAAAAACAAAUUGUUAGUGGAAUUUUGUAAGAUAUUUUUUUUUUAAUUUAUGUAUGUGAAUUAG
rnacentral:lncRNA from 1 species